rnacentral:rRNA from 1 species
GUGCCAGCCGCGCGGUAAUUCCAGCUCCAAUAGCGCAUAUUAAAGUUGUUGCAGUUAAAAAGCUCGUAGUUGAAACUUGGGCCUGGCUGGCGGGUCCGCCUCACCGCGUGCACUCGUCCGGCCGGGCCUUCCUUCUGAAGAACCUCAUGCCCUUCACUGGGCGUGCUGGGGAAUCAGGACAUUUACUUUGAAAAAAUUAGAGUGUUCAAAGCAGGCCUUUGCUCGAAUACGUUAGCAUGGAAUAAUAAAAUAGGGCGUGCGUUUCUAUUUUGUUGGUUUCUAGAGACGCCGCAAUGAUUAACAGGAACAGUCGGGGGCAUCAGUAUUCAGUUGUCAGAGGUGAAAUUCUUGGAUUUACUGAAGACUAACUACUGCGAAAGCAUUUGCCAAGGAUGUUUUCAUUAAUCAGUGAACGAAAGUUAGGGGAUCGAAGACGAUCAGAUACCGUCGUAGUCUUAACCGUAAACUAUGCCGACUAGGGAUCGGGCGAUGUUCUUUUUCUGACUCGCUCGGCACCUUACGAGAAAUCAAAGUUUUUGGGUUCUGGGGGGAUUAUGGUCGCAAGGCUGAAACUUAAAGAAAUUGACGGAAGGUCACCACCAGGCGUGGGMCUGCGGCUUAAUUUGACUCAACACGGGGAAACUCACCAGGUCCAGAUGAAAUAAGGAUUGACAGAUUGAGAGCUCUUUCUUGAUUUUUCAGGUGGUGGUGCAUGGCCGUUCUUAGUUCGUGGGGUGACUUGUCUGCUUAAUUGCGAUAACGAGCGAGACCUUACUCUGCUAAAUAGCCAGGCUAACUUUGGUUGGUCGCCGGCUUCUUAGAGAGACUAUCAACUCAAGUUGAUGGAAGUUUGAGGCAAUAACAGGUCUGUGAUGCCCUUAGAUGUUCUGGGCCGCACGCGCGCUACACUGACAGAGCCAACGAGUUCUUUUCCUUGUUCGAAAGAAUUGGGUAAUCUUGUUAAACUCUGUCGUGCUGGGGAUAAAGCAUUGCAAUUAUUGCUUUUCAACGAGGAAUGCCUAGUAAGCGCGUGUCAUCAGCAUGCGUUGAUUACGUCCCUGACCUUUGCACACACCGCCCGUC